AUUGAACGCUGGCGGCAGGCUUAACACAUGCAAGUCGAGCGGAGAGAGGUAGCUUGCUACUGAUCUUAGCGGCGGACGGGUGAGUAAUGCUUAGGAAUCUGCCUAUUAGUGGGGGACAACAUUUCGAAAGGAAUGCUAAUACCGCAUACGUCCUACGGGAGAAAGCAGGGGAUCUUCGGACCUUGCGCUAAUAGAUGAGCCUAAGUCGGAUUAGCUAGUUGGUGGGGUAAAGGCCUACCAAGGCGACGAUCUGUAGCGGGUCUGAGAGGAUGAUCCGCCACACUGGGACUGAGACACGGCCCAGACUCCUACGGGAGGCAGCAGUGGGGAAUAUUGGACAAUGGGCGCAAGCCUGAUCCAGCCAUGCCGCGUGUGUGAAGAAGGCCUUAUGGUUGUAAAGCACUUUAAGCGAGGAGGAGGCUACUUUAGUUAAUACCUAGAGAUAGUGGACGUUACUCGCAGAAUAAGCACCGGCUAACCCUGUG
rnacentral:rRNA from 1 species